rnacentral:rRNA from 1 species
AUUGAACGCUGGCGGCAGGCCUAACACAUGCAAGUCGAACGAGUGGCGGACGGGUGCGUAAUGUCUGGGAAACUGCCUGAUGGAGGGGGAUACCUCCUGGAACCGGUAGCUAAUACCGCCUACCAUCAGCUGUUCCCCGCUGGGCGUAGCUAGUUGGUGGGGUAACGGCUCACCAAGGCGACGAUCCCUCGCUGGUCUGAGAGGAUGACCAGCCACACGGGAACUGAGACACGGUCCAGACUCCGACGGGAGGCAGCAGUGGGGAAUAUUGCAAAAGGGGCGCAAGCCUGAUGCAGCCAUGCCGCGUGUAUGAAGAAGGCCUUCGGGUUGUAAAGUACUUUCAGCGGGGAGGCGUUACCCGCAGAAGAAGCACCGGCUAACGCCGUGCCAGCAGCCGCGGUAAUUC